UCAUUUUUGGUGAAGAUCAAGUUGCUCCUCUUGGUAUAUAAACCCUUGAAAAAAAUCAAAGGGGAAGUGUUUGAGGAAGUGGACAGAUUUGGUUUGUUUACGGCGUAGACGAUUCGAACGUCCCCAAGUUGUGAUUGAACUGUUUAGCGGUAAAACACCAAGGAAAUGUUCGGGAUGAAAUCUGAAGAUGGCCAGGGUGAAGUAGUCUCUUUGGGAGAAUUUAUGGAGAUCACAUUUGCAUAUGCACCUU